UUUCGGGAUUUCAUUCUUUUCUUCUUCCUCUUUCAACUGAGUAUCUUCUUUUAUCCACCGUUCUUCAUUUUGCAGCAAUGUCCGUCAUCUGAAACCGUGUCGAAGAAAUUAAUACGCUGAAUUGUUUCUGGAGUUAAAGCAAACAGCCACUUGUCUACUCAACUCAUUUACAACUCCAACAGGUUUCUAAUGCUAAUCAUACUUCAAUCGAGGCCGCAGCGCAAUCUUAGACAUAGAAAUGUAAGGAUUACUUCGAUUCAUACUUUUCAUUGGUUGACUGCUUUCUUCGAGUUACUGAGUUGCAGUUCUUUUUCCCUCUUAUUUAAACUCGGUUCAGCUGUUUAUCGAGAUUGCGAGUAUCACGUAGUUGAUUUAACUAUAAUUUUUGGGCCUAUUACUUACUUGCUUUCAAUAGGCUGAUUUCCUGGAAGCGUUCCUCUGUUAAGGAAUGAGUGAAUUGAAUGGGUGGUUUAUCUUGCGCCUACCAUUAUCAUUAUAGGGUAUCUUCUCAAGUAUGAACAAAAUGAGUUCACGGAAUCACUAUGAACACAUUGCACUGUACUUUGUUCAAUAUAUUGUAUCAUUAAUCAUAAAGCAGGUUCACAAUAUCUCCUCCGCUAGUUUUGUCCAAGGUACUCAUUGAUCUGUUUCUAUUGCCUUGAAUGUUUGAACUGUUUCUAUUGCUUUGAACACAAUGGAAUCCUGCAGCAAUGAGAAUAGGAUUUUCCCAUAUGAUGCAUGCCAAAGGUCAUUUAAAUCUGUCUUAGAAGAAGUCCAAUUAGAGCUAGAAAAAGCUGUCUGCUAAUUAUGAUGAUGUAUUGUAUAGUUUGAGGAAAAUUUUAUGGUUUUUAAGAUCUGUCUUAACAUGUAAGUGCUGAUUUGCCUAUUCAGCAUCAUUUGCAUCCUGCUAUCCUUCCCUUGCUGUCACCAACGAGUUAGAACGCACUACUAGCAGAUAUUAUCUACUUUAGUUCGUUACGUAUAGCUGUUAGUUUCACGAUUUUAAAACGCGUCUGUUAAAGAGAAGUUUCCACACCCUUAUAAAGUAUGUUUCAUUCCUCUGAAUCUCACAAUUUUGUAUUAGUCCAAGCUCACCACUAGCAAAUAUUGUCCACUUUGACCAGUUACGUAUUACCUUCAGCCUUAUGGUUUUAAAAUACAUCUACUAGGGAGAGGUUAAACACCCUUAUAAGAAAUGUUUCGUUUCAUUCUCCAACUGACGUAGGAUCUCACACUUAUGAUAUUUAAUUGGACUUCAAGGAAAUAGACGGAGUCCAAUCAGUCAAUCACAUCAGCUAUGCACAAGUUCUUGGUAAUAUCUCACAUGGACAAGCUAUUAAAUUAUGUAUAAAAACAGUGUUCAAAUAACCUAGAGACAUGGAUUGCAAUAGCAAAGGGUUUGAUGGAGAGCAGGAAUUUUUUCCCGUUGAAAACCAAGUCAGAGACGGCAGGGGUGAAUGGCAUAUGCCAUCUCCUCUCCUAAUCCUUUUGUUGUAUGCUCUUUUAAAAACUUGUGUGGCUCUCCACUGGAAAAGUUUGAGCUUGAAUCUGCUGUCCAAGUUUGGAAGCCGUUUUAUACUUCUGUGAACAUAUUGCAGCUUGAGAAUUCCUCAAGUAUCAGUUUCACUGAGGAUUUGGCUUGUUAAGCAGAUGCCUCAAUCAAAACUUCAAAAGAGAUAGUUUGUAAUAGCUAAAUCUACCGGAUAUGGUUCGUUUUGGACCGUUACAUAUUAUCGUCAGCCUCACAGUUUUAUAACGCGUCUUUUAAGGAGAGGUUUUCGCAUUCCUAUAAGAGCGUUUGUUUGCCUGUCAAACCGAUGUGGGAUCGCACAGUGAUGGGCGUGAACUGUUAUAUGGUUGCAGGCUUGUUGGCUGUUGAACAAUGCCCUGUAAUAAAACGAGCACAGGACUCUCUAGAGUGGGUAAUGAUUCAGAGGAGAGACAGGGCACCCAAACUCCUAAAGACCAAAUCUAAUGGCAAAAGCACACACAAACUAAGCAAUUUUGUAAAUGGAUUGCCUUUCUCAGUUAGCAUUCGCUUCGUAUAAUAGCUGCUGACAUAAGUAUCCUGUCUUUUACGGCAUGCUUGGUAAUUAUUUACUACAUGUUUAGUGUUUGACCCCGCAUUCGCAGAUAAUGAAUGUACAGAACAAAAUUAAUUUUAUAUUACCAUUUCUGUGC